rnacentral:rRNA from 1 species
GACGAACGCUGGCGGCGUGCCUAAUACAUGCAAGUAGAACGCUAAAGGAGGAGCUUGCUUCUCUGGAUGAGUUGCGAACGGGUGAGUAACGCGUAGGUAACCUGCCUGGUAGCGGGGGAUAACUAUUGGAAACGAUAGCUAAUACCGCAUAACAGUAGAUAUCGCAUGAUAUCUACUUGAAAGGUGCAAUUGCAUCACUACCAGAUGGACCUGCGUUGUAUUAGCUAGUUGGUGAGGUAACGGCUCACCAAGGCGACGAUACAUAGCCGACCUGAGAGGGUGAUCGGCCACACUGGGACUGAGACACGGCCCAGACUCCUACGGGAGGCAGCAGUAGGGAAUCUUCGGCAAUGGACGGAAGUCUGACCGAGCAACGCCGCGUGAGUGAAGAAGGUUUUCGGAUCGUAAAGCUCGGUUGUAAGAGAAGAACGAGUGUGAGAGUGGAAAGUUCACACUGUGACGGUAUCUUACCAGAAAGGGACGGCUAACUACGUG